rnacentral:rRNA from 1 species
AUUCCAGCUCCAAUGGCGUAUAUUUUAGUUGUUGCAGUUAAAAAGCUCGUAGUUGAAUUUCUGGUGGGAAGAUGCGGACGGCCUCAUGGCUUGUUCCAAGUCUUCCGGCCAUCCUUGGGUGGAGCUCGUCUGGCAUUAAGUUGUCGGGCGGGGGAUGCCCAUCGUUUACUGUGAAAAAAUUAAAGUGUUCAAAGCAGACUUAUGUCGUUGAAUAUAUUAGCAUGGAAUAAUAAGAUAGGACAGCAGUGCUAUUUUGUUGGUUUGCGCACCGUUGUAAUGAUGAAUAGGGACAGUUGUGGGUAUUUAUAUUCACUUGUAAGAGGUGAAAUUCUUAGAUUAAGGGAAGAUAAACUACUGCGAAAGCAUUUACCAAGGAUGUUCUCAUCA